CUCCCAGGGACCCAGGGGAGACCCCCGCCGUUCCCAGGUACCUCCCGGGCACCAGCUGAUACCCCUUGUACCUGCCAGGGGAGAUCCCUGUUGCCUCCCCGGGAACUUUCUGGGAGACCAGGGAACACCCCUCCCCCCUCCCCCCCCCCCGAGACCAGGUGAGUUCUCAGGGAGGCACCUGGGCUGGGGAGGGGGCUGCAGGGUCACUGGGAGAGUUUUUGGGGGGCUCUGUUAAUGCUACUUCUUGCCCUAGCCCCUCUGGUCUCUCUGCUGCCAGGGGGCUGUGGGGCAGUGCUGUCCCCCCAGGGGUGCCUCGGCUGAUGCCCCCAUCUCUCAUACACCCCCCCCCCCCAUAUCUGUCUCCCCUUGCAGGUGCCUGAAGUGGACGGUUUAGCUCUGCCUGGGAUCCUGGAUCUUCCCCCCAAGCCUGGGGGCCCCCGAUCCUGCUGUUCGGGGGGACCCUGGAGCUGCCUGUCAAUAAACAUUCCUUCUCCCAGA